CGUUAUCUAUUUUGGUCUUCACAGUUAGUUUUUUUAUGUUUGAUAUUUUUAAUAUGAUUAUAAUCGUUUGAUUGCAGGUCCAUAGUAUACUACGGUGAACCAUCCGUAUCUAAAUUGUUUUCCUUUCCUUCUUCUACUUCCCUAUUCUUCCUCUUGUGUUCUCCUUCCCUUCCUCCCUCAUCAUCAUAUCAUAUUCAGCUCUAAACCCAGAAAUCCUAAAACAUAAACUUAUCAAAAUCCACAAAUUAGUAAUCACAAAACACACAUAAAAGCUUUCCCUUUCAUACCUGCUGCAAUUUCCAGUGAAAGUCAUGAGCAACAACCAACACAGAACCAACAACGAACAAUCGAAAUCCAUACAGGUUAAUAUCUAAGAUUCAAAAUUUUCCCUUUCAAAAUCGAAAUCCAUAAAAGCUUCACAUAUUUCUUUCCAGUAUACACGUAAAGAAAGAUCCUGUUGUCACAAGCUUCACAUACUCGUAGCUUCAUAUAUUAUAGAACCUUAGUUCAUGAAAUCUUUGAUCUAUCUCUUACCUUAUUUUUUUCCUAAUAAAACUUAACCAAUAUUUUUACUUCCAUCAUUAUUAGAACCGAGGAAAUUGAUUGUUGAACCUUGUGGUGUUACUUUUGGAGUGGUAGAUUCUGUGAUAUCCAUGUUCUACUUUGGCAUCCACUUCUCAAAUUGGGUCCAAAUUUCUUCUCACGAUUUUCAAAUGUAAAACUAGAGGUAUGAAAACACACAUCCCUGAAUGAUAGAGGUGAUGAAUCCUCUUUUGAGUUGGAUUCUUCAUCUUUUGUGUUCAUGAUUGGUUCGGCGUUUGGAUUCAAACUAGGAGAAGCUUGGGUUGUUGUUGAUGAUUUGGAUUUUGCAGAUUAUGAAUUAACUAAUUUUUUUUCAACUAUUAUAAAUUAACCUAUUUGGAUUUGAUGGAAAUUGUUUAUGGUUUUUUUUUUCCUUCCGGAUUUCUUUGAAUUUUGGGUGAAUAUAUGAUGAUAGUGAUGAAUAAGAAGAGGGAGAAAGAUGAAUAAAAGUAAUAAUUAGUUGUUAAUUAAAUUGAAAAGAAAAAAAUAAGCAAUUGAAAAGAAAAGUUGGAUUUUCAAUUUUAACGAUGAAGAUGAAUACAAUGAGAGUUUUAUUUGGAGAUGAAGAAGAUGGAGGAAAAAAUUAGGUGUUUGUGGUUCAUUAUAAACUACAAUAGAUCUCUCAUUGAUCCAAUGGUCUCCAUUUAAAGAAAAAGAUCAAACGGUUAAAAAUAAAAGAUUUAAUAAGGUCUAUGAUGGACCAUCUAUAAAGUUGGUUCACCUUAGACAUUUAAGGUUAAAAACUAAC
rnacentral:lncRNA from 1 species